rnacentral:rRNA from 1 species
UACGUAGGGUGCGAGCGUUGUCCGGAAUUAUUGGGCGUAAAGAGCUCGUAGGCGGUCUGUCGCGUCUGCUGUGAAAUCCCGAGGUUCAACCUCGGGCCUGCAGUGGGUACGGGCAGACUAGAGUGCGGUAGGGGAGAAUGGAAUUCCUGGUGUAGCGGUGGAAUGCGCAGAUAUCAGGAGGAACACCGAUGGCGAAGGCAGUUCUCUGGGCCGUAACUGACGCUGAGGAGCGAAAGCGUGGGGAGCGAACAGG